AUGAGGACGAGCUCCCUGGCCUCCUGUCGUAUCUCCUCCAGGAGCCUGGCGAACUCGGCGCUCGAGGGGUCGGUGGUCUGCAUCUCGGUGACGUGGCGGAGCAUCUCGGCGGUGAGCGGCUGGAUGAGGACCACGUUGACCGCGGGGACGAGGAAGGCGAUGAUGGCCAGGAGGAUGAGGAUGGGGGCGAAGAGCUUGGGGUUUCGCGUGGGGAGGACCAGCGCUUCCUUGAGGAAGGUGAAGCAUGAGGUGGUCUUGGCACCCAUGGCUGGUGGUAACUGGAGAGCUGUGAUCUGGUCGAAGCCUCAAGCCUGA
rnacentral:rRNA from 1 species